rnacentral:rRNA from 1 species
GAUGAACGCUGGCGGCGUGCCUAAUACAUGCAAGUCGAACGAAACUUCUUUAUCACCGAGUGCUUGCACUCACCGAUAAAGAGUUGAGUGGCGAACGGGUGAGUAACACGUGGGCAACCUGCCCAAAAGAGGGGGAUAACACUUGGAAACAGGUGCUAAUACCGCAUAACCAUAGUUACCGCAUGGUAACUAUGUAAAAGGUGGCUAUACUACCGCUUUUGGAUGGGCCCGCGGCGCAUUAGCUAGUUGGUAGGGUAAAGGCUUACCAAGGCAAUGAUGGGUAGCCGAAUUGAGAGGUUGAUCGGCCACAUUGGGACUGAGACACGGCCCAAACUCCUACGGGAGGCAGCAGUAGGGAAUCUUCCACAAUGGGCGAAAGCCUGAUGGAGCAACGCCGCGUGGGUGAAGAAGGUCUUCGGAUCGUAAAACCCUGUUGUUAGAGAAGAAAGUGCGUGAGAGUAACUGUUCACGUUUCGACGGUAUCUAACCGGAAAGCCACGGCUAACUACGUG